rnacentral:rRNA from 1 species
AGAGUUUGAUCCUGGCUCAGAACGAACGUUGGCGGCGUGGAUUAGGCAUGCAAGUCGAACGAAUCCUACCGGUGUAGCAAUACAUUGGUGGGGGAAGUGGCGAAAGGGGCAGUAAUGCAUGGGCAACCUACCCCCAGGUCGUGAAUAGCCUUUCUAACGAUUGGGUAAUGCACGGCGUGGUCGAAGGGUGGCAUCACCUGGCGAUUAAAGAAUCUCGCCUGGGGAGGGACCCAUGUCGUAUUAGCUAGUUGGCGGGGUAACGGCCCACCAAGGCGAAGAUGCGUAGCGGGUGUGAGAGCACGACCCGCGCCACUGGCACUGAGACACUGGCCAGACUCCUACGGGAGGCUGCAGUCGAGGAUCUUCGGCAAUGGGCGAAAGCCUGACCGAGCGACGCCGCGUGUGCGAUGAAGGCCUUCGGGUUGUAAAGCACUGUCGAGGGGGAGGAAGCUCCGUAAGGAGUUGACCUAUCCCUGGAGGAAGCACGGGCUAAGUUCGUGCCAGCAGCCGCGGUAAGACGAACCGUGCAAACGUUGUUCGGAAUCACUGGGCUUAAAGGGCGCGUAGGUGGAUGAGCAAGUCUAUGGUGAAAUCCCCCGGCUUAACCGGGGAACUGCCGUGGAUACUGCCCAUCUCGAGGAGGGUAGGGGCGUCUGGAACUAGCGGUGGAGCGGUGAAAUGCGUUGAUAUCGCUAGGAACUCCGGUGGCGAAGGCGAGACGCUGGACCCUUUCUGACACUGAGGCGCGAAAGCCAGGGGAGCGAACGGGAUUAGAUACCCUAGUAGUCC